UACGGGGGGGGCGAGCGUUGUCCGAAGUUACUGGGCGUAAAGCGCGUGUAGGCGGGUUGUUAAGUCCGCUGUGAAAGCCCGGUGCUCAACGCCGGAGGGUCGGUGGAUACUGGCAGUCUUGAAGUGGCUAGGGGGAAAUGGAAUUACCGGUGUAGCGGUGAAAUGCGUAGAUAUCGGUAGGAACACCAGUGGCGAAGGCGGUUUCCUGGAGCUAGCUUGACGCUGAGACGCGAAAGCUGGGGGAGCAAACGGG
rnacentral:rRNA from 1 species